rnacentral:rRNA from 1 species
UACGGAGGGUGCAAGCGUUGUCCGGAUUUAUUGGGUUUAAAGGGUGCGUAGGUGGGGUGUCAAGUCUGGUUUGAAAGUUAGCUGCUCAACAGUUAGACGUGGCUGGAAACUGGGAUUCUGGAAUGGGGUGGCGGCGGCCGGAACUGGUGGUGUAGCGGUGAAAUGCAUAGAUAUGAGGCAGAACACCGAUUGCGAAGGCAGGCAGCUACGACCUGAUUGACACUGAGGCACGAGAGCAUGGGUAGCGAACAGG